rnacentral:misc_RNA from 1 species
GGGCCAAUUUGUUGGUCGUGCCUCGGUACGUACUGGUAUUAUUGGUUUCUCCCUUCUGAAGAACCUCGAUGCCAUUAAUUUGGUGUCGUGGGGAAUCAGGACUGUUACUUUGAAAAAAUUAGAGUGUUUAAAGCAGGCAUACGCUUGAAUACAUUAGCAUGGAAUAAUGAAAUAGGACGUUUGAUUCUAUUUUGUUGGUUUCUAGGAUCGACGUA